rnacentral:rRNA from 1 species
UACAGAGGUGGCAAGCGUUGUUCGGAAUUACUGGGCGUAAAGGGCGCGUAGGCGGCCUUCUAAGUCAGACGUGAAAUCCCCCGGCUUAACCUGGGAACUGCGUCUGAUACUGGGAGGCUUGAGUAUGGGAGAGGGAUGUAGAAUUCCAGGUGUAGCGGUGAAAUGCGUAGAUAUCGGGAGGAACACCAGUGGCGAAGGCGGCUACCCGGACCAGCACUGACACUGAGGCACGAAAGCGUGGGGAGCAAACAGG